rnacentral:piRNA from 1 species
UCUGUGCCCAGCCUCCAACCAGGACCA